UGCAUUUCAGAGGUGGGCGUGCGACAGUAGUGGAGAUGGGCUGUUGGGCAGUUGUAUGUUGGAUGCUUAUGAGAAACAAAGGAAAAGGAGUACGUACCUGCAGUCGCUGGCAAUGAGGGCGAGGCCACUCGUACUGAAGCCAUCGCAGCAGACGCUAACGAGCUCUUUGAAGGAGGGGAAGGACUCGGCAAGGAGGGCCAGAUCGUCGUACGUGAUGGACAUGCUCUGGGUUUGGAAUGCAGGAAAUUUUGCUUCGCAUUGGCACACUUGGAUGGACCCCUGCCUCCAACUUCACUUUCUCCCAGGCGCUCCCAGUAUCACCAACUGUGCCACUUGUGAAACCCAAAUUGGUUGCCUAUUCACUGCCACAAAUAAGAAGUUGAAGCCAAGAUUGUUUUCGGGGAUUAGGAGUUCUCAAGUUGCUGAUGGCAUGCAGUAACAGUGAAAUGUUGAGGUUCUUGCAACUGUGGCUGAAACUGACCAACCGAAAUGGUGUGAGGUUGCCAUGUUGGAAAACUCAAUCUCUCUGUUAAAGUUGUUCGAUGCGUCCUUAACUGUGUUAAGACACACUUUGCUAUGGGUACGGGUCUUGCUACGGGCAUUUAGGAGGGGGCACAGAUCAAUGAAUAUAUGUAUGCAUAGAUAGAGAAAGGGAGAUAUGAGCUGUUUACUACCUACAGCAGAAAGGCGACGGAUAUUCAUGCAAAUACAAACUGCAACUCCGGCCAGCUCUGACAUGAUCUCCAAACUGCAGCUACAGGUUGAAGCCUUCAUAGCAAGAGAAGAACCCAAAAUAGAUAACUCAAUGCCCGGCCUUAGAGCCAUAUGGUUCAAGCCCCAUGCAACAGAUGCACCCUUGUCUGCCAUUUUAGGUCCUCCUUCACCAGUCUCUUGCCCAAGCUAUCAACGUGCACUUUGGUGGAAGACAUGACCUAAAGAGAAUGCUACUAGGGUGCAAAGGAUAUAGUAUCAAAGUUCUGGCAUCAGGCCCGAAGAGGUUGAGAAAUAAGGUUGCGGCCAUUUGUUCGUCAAGUUCUGCAGAUAAUCUGCACUUCGAAUCCAUUAGCUUUACUUGGUGAAAUCCUCCAAAGUCAGGCUCUGCUACAAAUUAGAAUAUUAUGUCUAUAUAUAUAUAUGUUAUAUGCUGUAAUUUCUUGGGUUUUUUAAUACUUGUAUAAUACUUGUGGUAGAAGUUGCAAUUUCGUGUUUUUGUUCGAUACAAUAAUCAGAGGUGCAUGUAGUCUAUGUUGAAAUACUCUUCAUUUGAAA